AUUGAACGCUGGCGGCAGGCUUAACACAUGCAAGUCGAGCGAGCGGCGGACGGGUGAGUAAUGUCUGGGAACCUGCCUGAUGGCGGGGGAUAACUACUCGAAACGGUAGCUAAUACCGCAUACCAUCAGAUGUGCCCAUAUGGGAUUAGCUAGUAGGUGGGGUAAUGGCUCACCUAGGCCACGAUCCCUAGCUGGUCUGAGAGGAUGACCAGCCACACUGGGACUGAGACACGGUCCAGACUCCUACGGGAGGCAGCAGUGGGGAAUAUUGGACAAUGGGCGCAAGCCUGAUGCAGCCAUGCCGCGUGUGUGAAGAAGGCCUUCGGGUUGUAAAGCACUUUCAGCGAGGAGGCGGUACCCGCAGAAGAAGCACCGGCUAACUCCGUGCCAGCAGCCGCGGUAAUAC
rnacentral:rRNA from 1 species